UACGAAGGGGGCUAGCGUUGCUCGGAAUCACUGGGCGUAAAGGGUGCGUAGGCGGGUCUUUAAGUCAGUGGUGAAAUCCUGGAGCUCAACUCCAGAACUGCCUUUGAUACUGAGGAUCUUGAGUUCGGGAGAGGUGAGUGGAACUGCGAGUGUAGAGGUGAAAUUCGUAGAUAUUCGCAAGAACACCAGUGGCGAAGGCGGCUCACUGGCCCGAUACUGACGCUGAGGCACGAAAGCGUGGGGAGCAAACAGG
rnacentral:rRNA from 1 species